rnacentral:rRNA from 1 species
GUGGCGAACGGGUGAGUAACACGUGAGUAACCUGCCCCUGACUCUGGGAUAAGCGUUGGAAACGACGUCUAAUACUGGAUAUGAUCACCGGCCGCAUGGUCUGGUGGUGGAAAGAUUUUUUGGUUGGGGAUGGACUCGCGGCCUAUCAGCUUGUUGGUGAGGUAAUGGCUCACCAAGGCGACGACGGGUAGCCGGCCUGAGAGGGUGACCGGCCACACUGGGACUGAGACACGGCCCAGACUCCUACGGGAGGCAGCAGUGGGGAAUAUUGCACAAUGGGCGAAAGCCUGAUGCAGCAACGCCGCGUGAGGGAUGACGGCCUUCGGGUUGUAAACCUCUUUUAGUAGGGAAGAAGCGAAAGUGACGGUACCUGCAGAAAAAGCACCGGCUAACUACGUGCCAGCAGCCGCGGUAAUACGUAGGGUGCAAGCGUUGUCCGGAAUUAUUGGGCGUAAAGAGCUCGUAGGCGGUUUGUCGCGUCUGCUGUGAAAUCCCGAGGCUCAACCUCGGGCUUGCAGUGGGUACGGGCAGACUAGAGUGCGGUAGGGGAGAUUGGAAUUCCUGGUGUAGCGGUGGAAUGCGCAGAUAUCAGGAGGAACACCGAUGGCGAAGGCAGAUCUCUGGGCCGUAACUGACGCUGAGGAGCGAAAGCGUGGGGAGCGAACAGGAUUAGAUACCCUGGUAGUCCACGCCGUAAACGUUGGGCGCUAGAUGUAGGG